rnacentral:rRNA from 1 species
CGGGAAACUGGGGAUAAUUCCGGAUAGAUUAUAGAUGCUGGAAUGCACUGUAAUCCAAAGCUUUUGUGCCUAAGGAUGGGUCUGCGGUCUAUCAGGUCGUAGUGGGUGUAACGUACCUACUAGCCUACGACGGAUACGGGUUGUGGGAGCAAGAGCCCGGAGAUGGAUUCUGAGACAUGAAUCCAGGCCCUACGGGGCGCAGCAGGCGCGAAAACUUUACAAUGCGGGAAACCGCGAUAAGGGGACACCGAGUGCCACUCGUAACGGGGUGGCUUUUCUUAAGUGUAAAAAGCUGUUGGAAUAAGGGCUGGGCAAGACCGGUGCCAGCCGCCGCGGUAACA